GACACGUUUCAGUCCAGUUCAUGCUCUAAACAACAAGCAUGUGUUGACGAGGAAACCUCAAGCAUUUCAAUUGGCCACGAGUUGGAAGAUGCGCCAAACAGCCCGUGUGAGGCCAAAUCUGAACAGCCUUGUAAGAGAAGAAAGAUGUAAGUUCCAUACAAAUUAAAUAUUUAUGCCCCCCUUCGAAGAAGAGGGGGUAUAUUGUUUUGCUCAUUUCUGUCUGUCGGUCGGUCUGCUCACCAUAUGGUUUCUAGAUGAUAACUCAAGAACGCUUCGGCCUAGGAUUAUGAAACUUCAGCCUUUGUAACUUAUUAAGUUGUAUGAUAAUACAUUUUAAUACUAUAUCCAAAAAAAAUUGUGCAUACAUUUAAACCUAAAUUUCACAAUUCAUUUUCACAAAUGUUCAAUAUAAAAUAAUUUGUUGCUACAGAACAUUGUCUGAUGUGCAGCUAGCACAAUACACGUUCUUCAUUGAACAAACAGAAACAACCCGGUUAAAAAGAAAAUUGAUGGAACAACAAAUUCAGACACAAAAGGCUGCGGAGCAGUACUUCAUUGAAAGCAAAAAAAACCUUGCCCAAAAUGUAUUGGAGAAUUUUUUAGAACAGUAAGUCAAAUUAUUAUAUUAGUAUCUAAACUAUCUUUGAUUUAAAUAAAAACAUUAAUAUAAUGACCCCAUAAUACAUUUUACUUUGGAAGGGCUCAUGGGUUGAAGCAUAUUGACAUGUCUGUCUUUAUAUACAUCAUUUACACAAAUGUAUGCUAAACCAGUUUUAAAAAAAUCAUUAGUUUAUGCACAUCUCUUAAUGUUACAUUAAUGUUACAAUGUUACCAUUUUAGCAUCACUUUGCAUUACAAAUAAUUUGAAACAUGACAUGUAUUUUAUUUUCAGAUAGUGUUCCACUUCCUUUGUCCUUGGAGGCGAAGAAAAAUGUACUGUUAUGUUUAUUAGCUAAGUAUUAAAGGAAUAGACUUUAUUUCCACUUUGUGAUAAUAUGAAGGAAACAUGAAAACAUCACAAGCAUUGGAAACACUAUGUCCCCAUAUAUUUGACAUUUGACCUUGAAGGAUGACCUUGACCUAUCACCACUCAAAAUGUGCAGCUCCAUGAGAUACACAUGCAUGCAAAAUAUGAAGUUGCUAUCUUCAAUAUUGCAAAAGUUAUGGCAAAUGUUAAAGUUUGACGCAAACAAACACACAUACCAACAGACAGGGCAAAACUAAUAUGCCCCCACUAUAGUGGUGGGGGACAUAAAAAU